AGCGAACGCUGGCGGCAGGCCUAACACACGCAAGUCGAACGAACUCUUCGGAGUUAGUGGCGGACGGGUGAGUAACACGUGGGAACGUGCCUUUAGGUUCGGAAUAACUCAGGGAAACUUGUGCUACUACCGAAUGUGCCCUUCGGGGGAAAGAUUUAUCGCCUUUAGAGCGGCCCGCGUCUGAUUAGCUAGUUGGUGAGGUAAAGGCUCACCAAGGCGACGAUCAGUAGCUGGUCUGAGAGGAUGAUCAGCCACAUUGGGACUGAGACACGGCCCAAACUCCUACGGGAGGCAGCAGUGGGGAAUCUUGCGCAAUGGGCGAAAGCCUGACGCAGCCAUGACGCGUGAAUGAUGAAGGUCUUAGGAUUGUAAAAUUCUUUCACCGGGGACGAUAAUGACGGUACCCGGAGAAGAAGCCCCGGCUAACUUCGUGCCAGCAGCCGCCGUAA
rnacentral:rRNA from 1 species